rfam:Asian citrus Psyllid, Diaphorina citri - Florida Strain, whole genome shotgun sequence.
GCCUCGGCGGUGUAGUGGUCAAUACGCUCGCCUGGCAAUCAGGAGGGCGUGGGUUCAAUCCCAGCCGAGGUA